GCGGUGAUGAAUCUUCUGGUUUUGAUGAGCAGAGCUGAGAACACCCACCAUAUCCUCUAAGAAGUUCUGAGCUC